rnacentral:rRNA from 1 species
UUCGCCUCCUGCAAACCAAAUAUAGGAGGUCCAGCCUUGCCCAGUGACUUCAAGUUCAACGGCCGCGGUAUUCUGACCGUGCAAAGGUUGCGCAAUCACUCGUCCCUUAAAUAAGGUCCUGUAUGAAUGGCUAGACGAGGGCUUAACUGUCUCCCCCUUCAGGUCAGUGAAAUUGAUCUAUCCGUGCAGAAGCGGAUAUAAGAAUACAAGACGAGAAGACCCUUUGGAGCUUUAGGUACAAGGCUUACUUACGUCAAAUAAUCUAAUCAAGGCACAAAACUUAGUAAAACAUAAGACUUUACCUUCGGUUGGGGCGACCAUGGAGGAAAAAACAGCCUCCAAGUGGAUUGGACACAUCCCAAAAACCAAGAGAAACAUCUCCACGUCACAGAACAUCUGACCAAUUAUGAUCCGGUUAAAAAACCGAUCAACGGACCAAGUUACCCUAGGGAUAACAGCGCAAUCCUCUCCAAGAGUCCAUAUCGACGAGGGGGUUUACGACCUCGAUGUUGGAUCAGGACAUCCUAAUGGGUGCAGCCGCUAUUAAGGGUUCGUUUGGUCAACGAUUAAUAGUCCUACGUGAUCUGAGUUC